rnacentral:rRNA from 1 species
AUUGAACGCUGGCGGCGUGCCUAACACAUGCAAGUCGAACGAAGCAUUGGAGCUUGCUCUAAUGACUGAGUGGCGCACGGGUGAGUAACGCGUGGAUGAUCUACCCAUGAGUUCGGAAUAGCGGCUGGAAACGGCCGAUAAUACCGGAUACGCUUCAAUUAUCAAAUUUUGAGGUAAAGGCGGGGCAACCUGUCGCUUGUGGAUGAGUCCGCGUUUCAUUAGGUAGUUGGUGAGGUAAUGGCUCACCAAGCCUUCGAUGAAUAGCCGGCCUGAGAGGGUAACCGGCCACACUGGGACUGGAACACGGCCCAGACUCCUACGGGAGGCAGCAGUGGGGAAUAUUGCGCAAUGGGCGAAAGCCUGACGCAGCGACGCCGCGUGAGGGAUGAAGGCCUUCGGGUCGUAAACCUCUGUCAGGAGGGAAGAACCGCCAGUGGAGUAACUGCCAUUGGUCUGACGGUACCCCAAAGGAAGCACCGGCUAACUCCGUGCCAGCAGCCGCAGUAAUAC